rnacentral:rRNA from 1 species
GCCAGACUCCUACGGGAGGCAGCAGUGGGGAAUAUUGCACAAUGGGGGAAACCCUGAUGCAGCAACGCCGCGUGAGUGAAGAAGUCAUUCGUGAUGUAAAGCUCUAUCAGCAGGGAAGAAAAUGACGGUACCUGAGUAAGAAGCCCCGGCUAACUACGUGCCAGCAGCCGCGGUAAUACGUAGGGGGCAAGCGUUAUCCGGAUUUACUGGGUGUAAAGGGGGCGCAGACGGCAGCGCAAGCCAGGAGUGAAAGCCCGGGGCCCAACCCCGGGACUGCUCUUGGAACUGCGCGGCUGGAGUGCAGGAGGGGCAGGCGGAAUUCCUGGUGUAGCGGUGAAAUGCGUAGAUAUCAGGAGGAACACCGGUGGCGAAGGCGGCCCGCUGGACUGCGACUGACGUUGAGGCCCGAAAGCGUGGGGAGCAAACAGGAUUAGAUACCCUAGUA